CAGACCUGAGUGUGGCAGGACCACCCGCUAAACUUAAGCAUAUUACUCAGCGGAGGAAAAGAAAACAACCGUGAUUCUCUCGGGCAGCGGCGAGCGAAGAGGGAACGAACUCGUUGCCGAAUCGGGUCUGAAUGGCCUCGAGUUGUGGCAUGACGUGCCGCCUUGGGGGCUGGUGCGGGCGUGGCUGAAUUCAAUCGAAAAGCAAACCCGUUGCUGAAUCUACAACCCUUCAUGUGAGUAUUGAGCCAAAGAAGGUGUCAGCCCAUUUAUUCUAUGCCACCCACCCGCGCCUCCUCGGGCGGCCCAAGAGAGUAGCACUGUUUGGGAAUGCAGUGUCAAGCCGGCAGGUAUUUGUCUGCCAAGGUUAAAUACAGAGUAGGAAGACCGAUAGCGAACAAGUAGCGUGAGCGAAAGUUUGAAAAGCACUUUGGAAAGAGAGUGACAUAGAACCUGAAAUCGUGGCAACGACAAUGGAAGUACCUCCAUUUCGACGGCCAGACCCAGCCGCGCGUGUGCAUGUGUUUAUUCUUUGCCUUGGGGGUUCAAAAUCCCUUGGCUUUUUUCCAUUGCGCGUCGCGGCGUGGCGUGUGUGAGUGAGCGGAUUUGCUGGGUGCGCUUUGCAUGCCUCCCUUUCUGGUGGUAUGCAUGGUGUGCUCUUUCCGUGCCUCUCGACGCUGGCGAAGGGAAUGGGGUGCCCCCACCCGUCUUGAAACACGGACCAAGGAUCAAACAGACCGCAAGGUC
rnacentral:ncRNA from 1 species